CAGCCGCCACGGGAAAACGAAGGGUGCAAGCGUUAAUCGGAAUUACUGGGCGUAAAGCGUGCGUAGGCGGUGAGUUAAGUCUGCUGUGAAAUCCCCGGGCUCAACCUGGGAACUGCGCUUGUGACUGCACAGCUAGAGUAUGGCAGAGGGGGGUGGAAUUCCACGUGUAGCAGUGAAAUGCGUAGAGAUGUGGAGGAACACCGAUGGCGAAGGCAGCCCCCUGGGCCAAUACUGACGCUCAUGCACGAAAGCGUGGGGAGCAAACAGGAUUAGAUACCCCUGUAGUCCCUGUCUCUUAUAC
rnacentral:rRNA from 1 species